CAGAAUUCUAUACCUAAUGUUGUUGGCCAGAAUUCCAACAUGCAAAACUUGUCUGAAAUUUCACAGAACUCACUGGGGCAAGGGAAAUCUUCCAAUAUUUUUACUAUUCAGUAGAGGCACAUGCAAGGAAGGCAAUGGGUGCUACGGCAACAGCAGCAGCAACAACCAUACCAUCAGCAGUUACAACAGCAACUUAUGAAGCAAAAGAUUCAACAAGGAAAUCUCCAGCCUUCACUUAUGCAGUUUCACAUGCCGCAACAGCAACAGCAAAACCUGUUACCACCUACUCAGUUGCGAUCUUGCCUGCAAUCUGGUAUGCAAACAUCAUCCGUUAUGCAGCCAUCUGCCAUGCAAUCAACUCCUCUUACUGGUUUUCAAAAGAAUCAGCAAUCUUCUCUACAAGAGUCAAUACAGUCCAUGCUUCAGCAGCAUCAACAGCCACAAGCGGCCACCAGUGUUGGUAUUCUUCAACAACAAACAGCAAUGACACUGCAGUCAAUGAUGCCUCAGCAGCAGCAACAACCUCCACAGCCACAGCAACGGCUGCAGCAGCCAAACAUAAUGGGACAACAGACAAAUGCUGCACAUAUAAAGCAGAAUCAGUUAAUUGGACAACAAAAUAGCAUUGCGGACAUGCAGCAGCAGAGAUUGCUAGGCCAGCCUAAUAAUCCUCCAAACCUGCAGCAGCAGCAUCAGUUAAUGGCUCAAGAAAACCUCUCAAAUAUCCAUCAGCAACUGUUGGGUCCUCAAAGUAAUAUUUCAGGAUUACGGCAACAGCAGCAGCAGCAAUUGAUUGGAACCCAAUUGGGUAACUCAAGCAUGCAAACUAAUGAGCACAUGCUACCCCAGCCUAAGGUUUCACUCCAACAAAGGCAGCAGAGUGCACCUAAUUUGUUACCAACUCAAGGACAGACAUCCCAGCAGCCACAGCAGCAGCAGCAGCACUGAUGUCACAGAUGCAAUUAAAGUCUACUCAGCUGCAGCAACAAUUGGGUUUGCAAUAGCAGCCCAAUCAAUUACACCAAAAUAUGCAGCCAAGGUUUCAUGCAUCAGGUCAACUAUCAUGUUCCCUGCUUCAAUCACAAAAUUUGAUAGAUCAGCAAAAGCAAUUGUAUCAAUCGCGCAGAGCUAUUCCAGAGACAUCAUCAAGUAUGUUUUUGAAUGCUUGCAGUUGCUUACUUUGUUCUUUCUUUGUUUCUUUCUGAUCUUGUGUUAUUUAACGAAUCUAUGCAAUUUUUCCUCUGAUACUAGCACAUUUUAUCCUUGAAGCCGGAAAAAAAUCUAUUUUCCCAUAUAGCUACUAUAGUUGAUGCUAUUGUUUUUCAUUGCAUUUCUAUUACAGAAAAUAAUUUCCAUUCCAACUUGGGGGGAUUAAGAGAAUAUCUUUUUGAACUUGCACUACGUUGUCCUAUCAAAGCACAUUUUGCCUAGAUGAUUAGUUCUUAGCUAACAAAGACAAAUGCUACCAAAAUUAAUGGCACCCUUGCCUUCAUAAGCUGAUCAUGGGCACUGCCUGGCUUUUUAUGCCACCAGAAACAUUGUUGUUACUGUGGAAAACUCAGAAAUAAAAUUGUGGAAAUCUAAGAGUAAAAACUGAAUGUAUAUUGAAAAACUGCUCAUUAAGAAUUAUACAAGAACCUUAGUUUAUAUACAACUAACUAGGGGUUAAACUAGGAAACUAAAUCUUUCUAAAAAUUGAUCAUAUGAUUGAGGGAUUGUCUAUUAUUGUCUUUAAUUCUAGGGAUACAAAUACUUAAUUCUAGAGAUACAAAAAUAAAUAUACAGAUUACAAAAUUACAACCAGCUGUAAAUAAGUGUUUUCUCACACCCCCCCUCAAGCUAGUGAAUGGGUGUUUUCCAUUCCCAACUUGGAAAUAAUUUCUUGAAAUAUUGCACUGCUGAGACAUUUAGUCAACACUUCUGUAAGUUGAUCCUUGGUUGAUACAUAAGGUGUACAAAUCAACCCACUGUCUAGUUUCUCUUUUAUGAAAUGCCGGUUUACUUCAAUGUUUUUUGAUCUGUCAUUGGUCCAUCCCACUUGAUAUUCAAGUCUUCUAGAAUAAUUUUUAACCAUAGUAGUUCACAAAUUCCUUGAGCCAUUGUUCUGAACUCUGCUUCAGCACUUGAUCUUGCAACCACAUUUUGUUUUAUACUCCUCCAAGUCACGAGAUUACCACUUAAGAAAGUGCAGUAGCUUGAUGUGGAUCUUCUAUCAGUAGCUGAACUUGUAUAAUCAACAUCUAUAUAUGUUUCUAGAACUAGCCCCGAAUUUCUUUUGAAUAAGAUACCUCUCCCAAGAUUGGCCUUCAAAUAAUGUAAUACACGGUAAACAGCCUGUAGGUGCACUUCUUUAGGACUAUGUAUGAAUUGACUUACCACACUCACAACAUAUGCUAUAUCAGGUCUAGCAUGUGAGAGAUAAAUGAGUCUUCCAAUUAAUCUUUGAUACAUCUCUCUAUCUACAGCAGCAUCUUCAUUAGCUUAUCCAAUUUUAUGAUUAAGAUCUAUAGGGGUAUUUACAGGUUUACAUGCGAGCUUCUCAGUUUUCUUCAGAAGAUCCAUCACAUAUUUCUGUUGUGAGAUGAAAAUAUCAUGCCGUGAGUGAGCUACUUCAAUUCCUAGGAAUUUUUUUAAUCUUCCUAGCUCAUCUAUCUCAAAUUCCCUAGCUAAAUACAAUUUUAGAGAUUUUCUCUCUUUUUUAUCAUCUCCAGUUACAAUUAUAUCAUCAACAUACACUAAUAGAAUUGUGACUCUCCCUGAAUUAGAGUGUUUGAUAAACAAUGUGUGAUCUCCUUGACUCUGUUUAUAUCCUAUUGCUAGCAUCACUUUGACAAAUCUCUUGUACCAGACCCUAAGAGACUGUUUAAGGCCAUAUAAAGCCUUUUUCAGUUUGCAUACUUUGUUUGCUUGUAGAUGACCUCCAAAUCCCGAUGAAACCUUCAUAUAUAUUUCUUCUUCCAAAUCUCCAAGUAGAAAAGCAUUUUUUACAUCAAAUUGUUGAAGCUACCAAUUGUAAUUUGCAGCCAAUGAUAACAAAAUCUUAACUGUAUUCAUCUUGGCAAUUGAAGCAAAGGUUUUCUGAUAAUCCACUCCAUAGGUUUAAGUGUAGCCCUUAGUCACUAAUCUGGCUUUAUACCUUUCAACAUUACCAUUUGCCUUGUAUUUUACAGUGAAAACCUAUUUACGUCCUCCUGACUUUUUUCUUUUAGGCAACUCUACCAGUUCUCAUGUCUUAUUUUUCUCUAAGGUCUCCAUUUUUAUUUUCAUGGAUUACCUCCAUUUUUCACUAAAUAAUGUCUCGGAUAAUGUAGUUGGAACAAAAAUAGUGUUUAGGCUCACUAAAAAAUUUUUGUAGAAUGAUGAGAAUUUUUCAAAUGGCACAAAAUUAGAGAUUUGGUAUAGUGACUGCUUAGUACAUUCUUUGGUUUCUUUCUUAAUGGCAAUAGAAAGAUCAUAAUCACUUGUUAUAGUUUUAAGAGAUUCAUGCUCAUUUUGAAAAAUAGAGUCAAAACUGUAGUUACCUCAUUUCUAGAGUUAAGAACAAGUUCUUAGUCUGGCAUUGGUUCAGGAUCUGAAACUUUUCUUCUUGAGUACAUUUGUAAUCCCUUCAUAGAAUCAAGAACAAUAUUAUCCUUUGUCACAUCUUCUGUGUUUGAAAUGGGUUCAGACUCAAAUUCAGUGUUUGACUUGGGCUCAGCAGAAACAGGUUUCCACUUAAGAAAAUUAAUGGGUGAAAAUGUUGAAGAGAAGGACAAAUUAAACAAAAAGAAGUCUUUAUCAUUAUCUUCCAUGAAUGAAGUCUCUCCCUGAAGAUAAAGUUGAGUAAAAAAUGGUUUACUUUCUUCAAAAGAGACAUCUGCAGAUACAUAUAAUUUUUUGGUAGGAAGAUGAUAACACUUAUACUUUUUCUGAGUCACAAAGAUACACUUAAUUGCUCUUGGAUGCAAUUUUCUUUUAUUAUGACUGUGAACAUGAACAAAUGAUGUACAACCAAAUAUCCUAGGUGUGAGGUUGUUUGGGUAUUGAGGUUGGGAUAGAAUUUUGAAAGUAGUUCCAUAGGAGUUUUAAAUCUUAAAACCUUUGAAGGUAACCUAUUUAUAAUGUGUGUGGCAAUGAGAACAGCUUUCCUUCUAGUAAGAUUUGGAUACAUUUGCUUAAAAAAGGAAGGCUCGGGUUGUGACUAGUAAAUCGUUAUUUUUUCUUUCUGCCACUCCAUUCUGCUCUGGAGUAUUAACACAAUAUGGCCCAUGAAUAAUCCUCUCUUUUUGAAAAUAAGUGGAUAGACUCUAGUUGAAAUAGUCUCUUGUAUUAUCAGACCUAAAUCUCAUGAUUCUCUUCAAAUUGAUUUUGGAUCAUGUUUUGGAAGCUUAAAAAUAUACUAUUCAUAUCUGAUUUGGAUUUAAAUAAAAAACUCAAAAGAUCCUGGUACAAUCAUCUAUGAAUGAAACAAAUCAUUUUGCACUAGAAAUAUUAGAAAUUGUAGAGGAACCCUAAAUGUCUCUAUGAAUCAAGUAAAAAAGAGUAGAACUUCUUUUGUUACUAAUUGAAAAAGACACACGUCUGUGCUUUGCAAGUUCACAAACAUCACAAUGAAAAUCUUUGAUGUUUAAUCCAUUGAACAAAGAAGGAAACAUGUUUUACAAAGUUCCAAAAGAAGGAUGUCUAAGACGAAAAUGAUAAAGCUAGAUUUUGUCUUUAGUGAAAGAUUUUUCAGAAAAAAAUGACAAAGGUAAAUUAUUCUUGAUAUUACUUGUGUUGUUUGAUGUCUCAAGAUGGUAUAGUCUAUCCUUCUCUUUAGCAAGUCCAAUCUUUUUCUCCGAACUCUGGUGCUGAAAUUCACAAUAAGAGGGAUAAAAAAUCACUUUACAGUUCAUAUCUUUGGUAAGUUUUUGUGUAGAUAUCAUAUUAGUAGACAAUCCAAGAAUAUGAAAAAUAUUUUUUAGAACAAAUGAGGGAUUAAUUUGAACAUCUCUUAAUCCUACCACUGUAACAAGUGAACCAUCUGUAACAACAAUUUUCUUAUUACUAGAACACAUGUUGUAUGUACUAAACUUCUGUGAAGAAUGUGUCAUAUAGUCCAUGGCUCAUGAGUCAAUGACUCAAGAACUCGUAAUAGGCUUAACCAAGACAUUUAAUCCAUGAGAACCAAAAAUUUUACCUGAACUAGAGACCUUACUCAAGGAACAUACUACAGUAGGCUUUUCAAGGGUUCAAUAGCUUUUUCAGCUUUUCAAUCUCUUCGCUGUUCAACUCUCAUUGUUUUCGAGACAUCUAUAAUACUUCAGUAAUUUUUUCAAUUGACAUUUUCUCAAAUUGGGUGGUGGUGAUAUCUUUCUUUGAACUGAAAGAAGUCUUAAGAUAUAAUUAGAAAUAACUCUUAGCAAUGAAGGCUGAAGAAGAGAAAAAUAAAAUGGUUAUGAAGGCUUUAACAGGGUUUGGCAAUGAAGGCCUAAGCAGGGUUCGACAAUGAAGGCCUAAAAAUAAAAGUCUACAAUGAAGGUUGAAAAAUUUUGCUUCCCAAGAAGAGCCUAAAGCUCUGAUACUAUGUGAAAAACUUAGAAAUAGAGCUAUGUGAAAAACUAAGAGUAAAAACUGAAUGUAUAUUGAAAAACUGCUCAUUAAGAAUUAUACAAGAACCUUUGUUUAUAUACAACUAACUAGUGGUUAAACUAGGAAACUAAAUCUUCCUAAAAAUUGUUCCUAUGAUUGAGGGAUUGUCUAUCAUUAUCCUUAAUUUUAGGGAUACAAACACUUAAUUCUAGAGAUACAAAAAUAAAUAUACAGAUUACAAGAUUACAACCAACUGUAAAUAAGUGUUUUCCCACAGUUACCACUGUCACUGCUAAGUCUCCACUGUUGUCACUGUGCUAUUAUGUUACUCUUAACACUUACUCUAGUUAUUUUGCAAUGAUUUUGUCAAACCACAAAGCAAUGGCUGGAUUUAAUCUAUUCAUUUUAUCAACAAAUAAUUCAUGCUGUUUUAUUCAACGAGUUUUCGUGUUUGGCUAUAAAACAUUCUUCUGGAAAUAAGUAAACUGUGUUUUGUGUGCAAAGAGAAGUGACCAUUUUGUUGGUUAAGCUCAAAGAGUAGAAACAAAUGCAUAAACUCACUCAUGCCCUUCAUAUUCAUUUGAAUUUUAGAAUAGUCGGAUAUUUCUAGCAGUUUGUUUGAUUAUGUCGGGUUGGUGUGAUUCCUUUGUCCGACUUAAAUAUUGUUGUUCUUUCUUGUAAUCUAGCUUUUAAAAAUGUUCCCACCACUUAAUUUAACAAAAAAUUAUGAUUAGGAGAUUGCAGUCCUGUUUGAGAACAGCUAGUUACUGUUUUUGUAUCAAAAUAGAGGGUAAACAUGCUUGCAAAUGUCAGAGGAGUUUUGUUUGAAUGAAGAAUGCAUAACGAAUGACUAGAUAAGCAAGUGGGUGACAGCAAGCUGGUUCAUGCACGCAUGAUGGUUAAAAGGGUGUCAAAACUCAAAAUUGUCUUAGUAGUGUUUUUGAUUUAGUCUAACGGCUUUUUAUUGAAACAUUAAAAUUUGGCUGUAGAUUUAAUUAAGUUCUGGAUAUGACCUAUAUUCCUUGAGUCUAAUUUGUCCCCUAAAUUUUUUUUAGUACUUUAGUUUGGCUCGCCCAUUAUUUUGCUUGACAAUAUUAUUUUUAAUGAAUAACAACGUCUGUAGCAGAAAAUUAGUUAACUUUUUUUAGGUCUUCCUUCUCAUGAUCACUUAAACUUAUCUAUCGUUUACUCCUGUUCCAACUGAACUUCUUUUUAUAGAUGGCAAAUGUAUAGUUAGCUUGUAACUUGAGAAACUCUAUAAGUAGCCUUGAAAAAUAAGAAUGAUGUUUGAACUUGGAGUUUGUCUCUGUGUCACAAUGGAAAGUCAAAAUUAAAAAAUUUUCUACUUUUGUAAGUGUACAUCUUAGAAUAUCCCAAAAGUAAAAGGCAGUGGAAAUGGGGUGUAGCGAUCAUGUUUUUAAUGAGUAACCUCUAAAAUUUGGAUACGCAUGGUUAGUUGCAGAAACUAGCAAUAAAAUUUUCUCAUAUGUCAAUGUCCAAAAUGUUUAAUGGUUUCUUCAAAUGCCUUUCAGUUGUAAGUCGUGGUGGGUCUGAUGGAAUUUUGGGACAUAGGAAUUGAUUAUUGGUUGCGUUAUGAUCCCUGUCGAUAUCCCCAUCAAUGCUAUGUGUACUUUAAUUUGCUUUCAGAGUUGGUUGUUUUUUGCUCAUAAUUUACCCUUCUUCCAUAAAUUAUCUAUUUCAAUGUUCUGUUACAUAUGCAACAAAAAUAAUGUACCUUCAAGCGAAUGGAACAAUUUUCUUUCAUUUAAAUUAUGUUUUCCUUGCGUAUUCUUCUUCCUUCAUAAAUUUCCAUUUUUCUUAUGUGUGUAGAAUUUAUUUAUCCUUUUCUUUUAGCAUCUUUGGAUUCCACAGCUUAAUCAGGACAUGCAAAUGGGGGUGAUUGGCAAGAAGAGGUCUAUCAAAAGGUAAAAACUAUCUUGACUUAUUCUCCUAUAGAUAUUAUUACAGUUUCAACUUGGUUUUAAGAAGGUUUUAGGUGUAGGAAAGUGGUUCUGAAAAAGAAUAUUAGAGUAUGUUGGGAUGCAUCUCAUAGCAGGAACCAUAAAACUGAAGAAGUAGGAACUUAAAACAAAUUUGGUAAAAGAAAUUCAGACAUUUUCUGAAUUACUUACUACUUUGUUAAUAAGAACUUGAAUUCUUUUGGCUUGUUCUUAGAAGAAAGAAAAUAAAGUUUAUUUAAAUCCUUCAGCUCUCUACUAAAGAUCUAUUAAAAUUGGUGAGCAAGAAGCCUUAGACCAAGGGUAUCUUGCAUACUUGACUUCAAAGUAAUCAUCAUUUAUCGACACCUUUGUUUCUUUUGUUAUUAACUAAUAUCAGCGCCUGCUAGUCAGAAAAUGGAAAAAUCUUAUUAUUUUUCUAAUAAAUCAUGACACUGGGAUAAAUUGAGUGGUUUAAUCGUUGGUUAAGCAUUUUGAUCCUGAUUUUAUGUUGCAGAUCAAGGCCAUGAAAGAGACAUACUUACCUGAAUUAAAUGAGAUGUACCAAAAAAUUGCUGCCAAGUUGCGGCAGGUAUGUUUAUUCUUUUACAUAAUCAUAUAUAUUCAUUCCCUAACCUCCAAGGAGUGAUAGAACCCAUCUGCCCCAUAGUCUGCCACCCUGUGUCUCUAAAUAGAAUUUAGAGAGGACUUUACUGCUCCACAUUAGAAAGCUGUUGAACCCAUACCACUUUUAGGUUGCUACUUGAAUCCCCUUACCAUAGACACUGUUUAGUGGUUGCACUUAUGCAUAUCUGUUGUAAUAGUGGUUUGUAGUUUUACUUGCAUCAGUUGAAACAAUUUUAUGUGUACGAUUUUCCAGCAUGAUUCUCUUCCACAGUAGCCAAAGUCAGAGCAGCUUGAAAAGUUAAAAAUGUUCAAGAUCUUGUUGGAGCACAUUAUAUCUUUCUUAUCAGUUCCCAAAGCCAGUAUCUUACCAACUUUCAAGGAUAAGUUGAGUUUGAAUGAGAAGCAGAUAGUAAAUUUUUUAAAUACCAGUAGGCCAAGGAAGGCAGUCUCAGCACGGCAGCAAGGACAGCUUCCUCAAUGAUAUGCAUUCCAUGCCGCAACCACAACCUCAAAUUAAUCAGACACAGUCUCAUGAUAAUCAAAUGAACCAUCAGUUGCUGUCAACGAAUUUACAAGGUUUUGUUCCAACAAUGCAGCGGAACAACAUGACAAGUUUGCAGUAUAAUUCUGUGUCUUCCUUACCUGGGGUUGCAACAGCGCAGCAGACCAUGUUAAAUUCCCUGCAGCCAAGUUCCAAUUUGGAUGCGGGACAAGGUAAUGGCCUAGGCUCAAUGCAUUCUCAGAAGCCUUGGUAGCAUUCUCAGAAGCCAACUAACAAUUAAUUCUUUAGUGAAUAGCAAUUGGUUGAGUAUUAGCAUUGCUUUCCACUGAUGUGCUGGUCUAGUGGUGAAAGUAGUGGUGUUUUAGUGAGUUACAGUCCUCCUUAGGUGCAUGACCAAUGGCCUAGGACAGAGAGAAAAAUCGGAAUCUUAAGAGCCUUGUGAAGAAGGGUUUCCUAGUAUUAGUAUUAAAUCAACCAAAUUGACAUCCAAUUGUAAAGUUGUGGUUUACAUAGCAAACCAUCAUGUUCAACUUAAGUCAUGGUUGUAGGGUGUCUGUGAGUGUCUAGUAACAUGUCUUGUCAUUUUGUAAGAGUGCGGCAAAUGAUGUAUACUGUCCACUUUAUCUUACAACAUUAACAAAAAUGAAAUCCUGCUCUUAUGUAUAAAUUUGUGGUUGCAAAAACUGUGUUUUACCCCGAGUUUCUUAUCAAGAGAAGGGGGUUGUUUACUGAAAAGAGCUUUGUCAAAUGUUUUGCAUAUUUGAGAAGUGAUUUGUGUCCAAACUUACAAGUUUUUCUUUUUCACUUCCUUUAAUAUAUGACAAAAAAUUUGAUGUGAAUUGUUUGUGACUUUUCUUUUCUCUUUUGAUGUUGUCAGAAUUUGAUGGAUACCAAUAACUGGAGGCCUACUCCUGCCAGUGGAGAGCCCACCAUGGAUACAGGUGAUUGGAGAACCCAGUUGCAGCCUGAUUCACGACAAAGAAUUGUCAACAAGAUGUAAGUGAAUUUUAUGGUAUUAUUAUUUGUUAAAUAUACUUGUUGUAUUUAAGUUACUGAUAUUCUGUGGCAUGUCUUUUACAGUUUCAAUAUUGUUAAUAACCAAACAAUACCAUCAAUAAAACCAUAUAUCCUAUUCUAGAGCGCAUUCUUUGUUUUGUAAAUACAUAGCUCGAAAAUCAAAGCUUGCUCUUACCCAGAGUUUGGGCACAAUAUAUGGAUCACGUAUCUGGAAGCCUGAUGUGGCAAAGCUAUUGGGUCCAAUUCUGUGUGGCGUACUUGGUAUCGACAUUUAAUGAAUUUAUGUGAUUGAAUGAGGAUAAAUUUUACUUUUAGAUCUUUUGCUUCUUGGAAGCUUGGGACUUGUUUUCUCAUUCGAGUGCUACAGUAUAUGAAUUGAUGGUUCUCUUUUCCUCUUACUAACUCAAUUAUACCCAUUCAUUAAAUAACUUAUAGCUGUAACGGACACUAGUGGUCUUGCUUUUCUAUAUCAUUUUAUGAACGAUGGUAAUUUUGGUAUGUGGUCUAUUUGAAUGUAGCUGAUAUCUGAAGGUCAUGAUGGCCACUUUGUUUAUUUGGGAGAACUUUGUUAAAUUCCAAUGCCAUGGCUUCUGGAUAUUUGAAUGAGUCGGUCCUGAACAAGUUAAUGAGGAAAAUCUUUUGGUGGUCAGAUUAUAUCCUGGUUGAUUUUCAUUUGAUUUUAUGUUAACUUCACAAUUUGGUCAUGGCAUUGUUUUAUUAACCAUGGAAGAUUCUUAUAUAUAUCCUAUUGGUUUGUCGAUACCUUACACAAUGCCUUGUGUGCAUAGAAUGGACACAUUGAAGAGGCACCUCCAUUUUCUGGGCCAAGAGGGUUUAAAUGACUCAGGAAAAAUCGCAGUAAAGGUUUUUCGAAGGAAAAGAUUUUUUACAGCAGCAAACAGCCAGGUAAUCAUAGAAUAUUGGCAUUCUUAACCUGCUUGGAUUGCCAUUGUUGUUUACCUAUAUUUUGUUUGUUUCGCGUUGUGUGUAUGUAUCUUUGUGUUUCUUUUUUUUCUUAUUUAAUAUGUAUACGAAUGCAUACACCUAGACUCCUUGUCAUUACAUUGGAAGUAAAAUAAGAAAAGAAAUCCAGGGAGUGAAAGGAGAGCAGAGGUAGGAAAAACAAAGAUGCCUAAAUGGAUAUUAAGCAUGGUUAAUAUAACAUAUUUGGACAAUCUUGUCUUGUAUUUGAAUAAUGAAGUAAAGCUUGUUUACUCUAAUGCUGUAGAUGGAUUUCUAUAUUCAGUCUGAUUAUCUAAGGAGAAUAUCCUUGAAGAUGCUUACUAUGGAGAAACAGUCUGAGAAUACCAUACCCAACACUGGGAAUAACAGCAAGGCCCCUGAUCCAGGUAAUUGCAGGAAACAGCAUUUUGCUUUGAUGUAAUCUAGAAGGAGGACAUUUUCCAUUUACAUGUCCUUUCUGUUCUUUAACAUGAAGAGUUGUUUAACUUGCAACAUUUAUGCACAUAUUCUUUCUGCAGCUAUUUGAAUGAAAAUUACCUAUAUUUUAACUCUUUUGUCCCCUUAACAAAGCGUGGUUGUUUUGGUGGGUUGGAGUUGUUUAAGGGAUAGAUUUGAUAAGCACCCAAAUAGAAAGCCCCAUUUGCUGUUCCCAUGAUUGAAGUCCUUCAGCAUGGGAUGCACCUCUUCAUGUGCUAGGCCUAGGAAUAAUUUUAUUAUUUUUUUCAUGAUCCUCAUGGUAUGGUUCAAUUGCCCUCACAGGUUUUAAGUCUAGUCAUCUUUUUGAAUGAAUUAAUUACUGCUUCAGUAUUUUUGUUGUUUAUCUUGUUCUAAAUGUUCUUCAAUUCAGUUCUUGUGGGUUCUUCCCAACUUUUCUUUCUGAAUAUAAGAAUCUUGGGUAGGUUCUGAGGGCAUGCAAAACCAAGUUCACAGUCAAGGGCAAUCAAUUCCUAUCCCAUUACAAAGUAAUCAGUCUCAAGCACAUCAACAACUGUUACCCCAGAGUGUUCCAAAUAACAUGUCAUCUGCUGGAGUUCAAAGUUCUACUGGUUUACAAUCUGGGAUGCCUUCUGUGUCUGGUCCAACCCAGAAUUCUAUACCUAAUGUUGUUGGCCAGAAUUCCAACAUGCAAAACUUGUCUGAAAUUUCACAGAACUCACUGGGGCAAGGGAUAUCUUCCAAUAUUUGUACUAAUCAUCAGAGGCAAAUGCAAGGAAGGCAACAGGUGCUACCGCAACAGCAGCAGCACCUUUGCUUGCAGGGUUCGAAAUUACCUGCACCUGACACACCUGGUAAUGGUAUGUCAACAUCACCUUUGCUUGCAGGGUUCGAAAAUGCUAAUGAUACUCACAGUAAUGCUUUAACAACUGAUUUUGGCGAGUCGAAGGAUACAGAAGAGCCACAUGUUCCCAGAGUUACCAUGGUUAGUGGAGCUUAAUUAAUUUUCAUUCUUCGCAUGCUCUUUUUUCAAUUUUCCCCUUUGACUUGAUAUGUUGUUCAUGUGGUGAAAGAGUGGUAAAAAAGCUUGAAAUCCUUCU
rnacentral:lncRNA from 1 species